rnacentral:rRNA from 1 species
GAGACACGGCCCAGACUCCUACGGGAGGCAGCAGUAGGGAAUCUUCCGCAAUGGACGAAAGUCUGACGGAGCAACGCCGCGUGAGUGAUGAAGGUUUUCGGAUCGUAAAGCUCUGUUGUUAGGGAAGAACAAGUACCGUUCGAAUAGGGCGGUNCCUUGACGGUACCUAACCAGAAAGCCACGGCUAACUACGUGCCAGCAGCCGCGGUAAUACGUAGGUGGCAAGCGUUGUCCGGAAUUAUUGGGCGUAAAGGGCUCGCAGGCGGUUCCUUAAGUCUGAUGUGAAAGCCCCCGGCUCAACCGGGGAGGGUCAUUGGAAACUGGGGAACUUGAGUGCAGAAGAGGAGAGUGGAAUUCCACGUGUAGCGGUGAAAUGCGUAGAGAUGUGGAGGAACACCAGUGGCGAAGGCGACUCUCUGGUCUGUAACUGACGCUGAGGAGCGAAAGCGUGGGGAGCGAACAGGAUUAGAUACCCUGGUAGUCCACGCCGUAAACGAUGAGUGCUAAGUGUUAGGGGGUUUCCGCCCCUUAGUGCUGCAGCUAACGCAUUAAGCACUCCGCCUGGGGAGUACGGUCGCAAGACUGAAACUCAAAGGAAUUGACGGGGGCCCGCACAAGCGGUGGAGCAUGUGGUUUAAUUCGAAGCAACGCGAAGAACCUUACCAGGUCUUGACAUCCUCUGACAAUCCUAGAGAUAGGACGUCCCCUUCGGGGGCAGAGUGACAGGUGGUGCAUGGUUGUCGUCAGCUCGUGUCGUGAGAUGUUGGGUUAAGUCCCGCAACGAGCGCAACCCUUGAUCUUAGUUGCCAGCAUUCAGUUGGGCACUCUAAGGUGACUGCCGGUGACAAACCGGAGGAAGGUGGGGAUGACGU